GAAAAAGGCAGGAGGGGAGAAAAACAAAGGGAGGAGGAUGAACAGGGGAUGGAAAAGCAAGUGCUAAGCGAGGUGUACAGCCGCUGUCCCUAUAGCAAGAAUGCCCAGGCCCAGGUCUCUCACGCAGCCUCCUAGAGCUAGAGUGUGUGUGCGGUUGUCUCUGUGUCACUCCUUCGCCUUCCCUGAAGGACACUGUGUACUUGCCAGGUGACGCUGCUUGCACACUCCUUCCAGAAGCCUUCGAGUCAUUCGCCCUUUUAUUCAUGGUUUUUUAUUUUUUAUUUUUUUUUUUGGUCCUGGUUUAUUGUUACACCGCAAUUCUUUAUGCACCAAGUACCAAAACAUUUGUCACUCUGUGCCGGGAUCACAGUCAGUCUUCAGUCCUCCUCCCACUCUCAGCUCCUGUGUGUUCAUAACUACAGCAGCCCAGGCUUGUCUGAAAGGCACCUCCUGCACUCCUCACCAUCUCUGGGCUCCUGCAGCCUCAGAGAGAACGGCAUGGAUGUCCAGUUUGGAACCAAGCAUUCAGCAGUCACUUAUUCUUGACACUUGGCCAUUUCUGGGUCUCUGUUUUGCCAUCACUCACUACCGCAAGAGGAUUUCUGACCAAGACUGAGACCUAUACUUACUUCGUGUGUGUAAAUAUAAAUAUUUAGAAGGCAGUUUAAUAAAUUCCUGUUUG
rnacentral:lncRNA from 1 species